ensembl:sense_intronic Gm15742 predicted gene 15742
AGCCCUUGCUGUUUGCUGGUGAAAGUGCAUCUGUCUGGACUACUUCACUUCAGUAAGCGUGGGCUGGGCCCCUGCCUUGUGCCAGGCACGGGGCCAGGCAGUGGGGAUUCAGGUCUCUUCUCCACAAGAGUUGGCAGUGGCCCUGGUGCAUGCUUCAGGGAGCUGGUAACAAGAACACUUGAGGAUGUACCCAGCAGAGUGACCCGUCCCUGCAAGCACUUUGGGUGCCUCACCCAGCACUGGCCAGUGAAGGAAGCAAGCAAGCCGUCCUCCACCACCAGCCAAGUUACCUGAUGCUUCAUCUCCUGCCCCAGUCUUGUCAUACCUUACCCUUCCUCCUAUACUGGGGAGCCAUCUGAAGCUAAAGGAAGAGAGAUUGCACCUAAAAGGUGCCCGGGUGUCAGAUACUGCAUCCCGCACACGGCCCUCACAGCCUAUCCUCUGGGAUAGAAUGUUGAGUUCUGGAGGAGCUGGGGCAGGACACACUGACUGGUUCAGAGUCCUCUGUCUGCUCCUCCACUAUGCAAACGCUCGGCCACGUGACGCUGUGUCAACACCGCUGAGCUCGGCUCCAUUUAGCCGAUUCCCCAGACACUCAUUUCACAGGCACAGGGAAACCAGAGGUGCUCUUAUGUAAGAGGACCUGAGCGGGGAGGGAG